GCGGGCGGGGAGCGAUGCGCGCCGCGGCCUCACGGGCGGGAAUUUUCUUCCGGGGUGCGGCCCGCUCGGGGGGUUUCGCUUCCGGGACGGUGCUGCGGGCCCUUCCCACCCCCGCCAGGGGAAGGGGGCAAAAAGUUUUCAGACCUUCUUACUACAUUAGAAGAAAAAAGGAAGACAACAAGAGAGCACCUCCGUUUCCUCCCCUCUGCAUGUUCCUCAUAACGUUACCGGGUUGUUUGCCUGCAACUGGGACAGCCAUGGAGAAGAGUGGGAACAUUCAGCUGGAGAUUCCUGACUUCAGUAACUCUGUCCUGAGCCACCUGAAUCAGUUACGCAUGCAGGGUCGCCUGUGUGACAUUGUGGUCAACGUGCAGGGGCAAGCUUUCCGUGCUCACAAGGUGGUACUGGCUGCCAGCUCGCCCUACUUCCGCGACCACAUGUCCUUGAACGAAAUGAGCACCGUUUCCAUUUCUGUCAUCAAGAACCCUUCCGUUUUCGAGCAGCUCCUUUCCUUUUGUUACACCGGUAGGAUAUGUCUGCAGCUGGCCGACAUCAUCAGUUACCUAACGGCCGCCAGUUUCUUGCAGAUGCAGCACAUCAUAGACAAAUGCACACAGAUACUCGAGGGAAUUCAUUUCAAAAUUAACGUGGCAGAGGUGGAAGCGGAAUUGAGCCAGACCAGGACAAAGCAUCAGGAGAGACCACCGGAGUCUCACCGGGUGACACCAAAUCUAAACCGUUCUCUGAGCCCGCGUCACAACACUCCAAAGGGGAGUCGCCUGGGCCAGGUUAGCACCGUGCUGGACAUUCGGGAGCUCAGCCCGCCCGAGGAGUCCACCAGCCCCCAGAUAAUUGAGCAGAGUUCAGACGUGGAAGGCAGGGAGCCCAUACUACGGAUUAACAGAGCAGGACAGUGGUACGUUGAGACGGGAAUGGGAGACCGUGGGGGACGGAACGAUGACGACGUCCGGGUACUGGGAGGAGUACGCAUUAAAACCGAGAACCUGGAGGAGUGGCUUGGGGCAGAGCAUCAGCCGUCGGGUGAAGAUGGGAGCAGUGCUGAGGAGGUCACUGCUAUGGUUAUCGACACCACAGGCCAUGGAUCGAUGGGCCAAGAGGCUUACGCGUUAGGGUCCUCAGGUGCCAAAGUGGUCAGGCCGACCAGCAGUGAGAUUGAUAGAUUUAGCCCUUCUGGCAGCAUGGUUGCUGUGACUGAGCGGUACAGAUCAAAAAGCGAGUCUCCCGGGCGGAUGGAUGAGCCCAAGCAGCCCAGUUCCCAGGGGGAGGAAUCAGCCAUGCUGGGAGUGAGUGGUUACGUGGAAUACCUCCGAGAGCAGGAGGUUUCAGAGCGCUGGUUCCGGUACAACCCACGGCUCACUUGUAUUUACUGUGCCAAAUCCUUCAACCAGAAAGGCAGCCUGGAUCGGCACAUGCGUCUCCACAUGGGCAUCACACCUUUUGUCUGCCGCAUGUGUGGGAAGAAGUACACCCGCAAGGAUCAGCUGGAGUAUCACAUCCGCAAGCACACAGGCAACAAGCCCUUUCAUUGCCACGUCUGUGGCAAAAGCUUCCCUUUCCAGGCCAUCCUCAACCAGCACUUUCGCAAGAACCACCCUGGCUGUAUGCCUCUGGAGGGGCCUCACAGCAUCUCCCCUGAGACCACGGUCACGUCUCGGGGGCAGGCAGAGGAAGAAUCUCCUCCACAGGAGGAGGCUGUUGCUGUUGUGGAGACGGCACAGGGAUCUGUGUCCACCACUGGGCCAGAUUGAAACACAGCUGCAGAGUCUGGGGAGAAAGGACCGUCUUCCCAUUUUUGGCUCUAAAGUACCCGGCAGGCUGGUACUGUAAUUAGUGCAAUGCCACCACUGGACAGAAGGAAGCUCCCAAGAUGUUGCCAAAAUAGAAAAAUCUUUCUCUCUCUCUCUCUCUUUCUCUCACACACCCACACACACACACACACACAUAGAGUGUUAAAAGUUUUUCUCCCUUAUUCCUCCUCCGCUUGGAGAAAAACAGAACAACUGUGUCAAUCAACUUCUUAUUCAGGGAUCGACAGGAUUUUAAAUUUUUUUAAUGUUCCGUAGUGAUCUGAGAUGAGCAGUCGUUUGUAUUUCUCAACAGCAUUUUGGCCCAGCAGCUGGGGCCCGCUGGCAGUGCCAGCGUCAGCCAUGCAGACCCAGUGAGCCUAGUGUGCAGGACUGCUCCUUGCCAUAUCUGCUGGUCCAGCUCAAGGGGAGAGCAGGGGUAAGAUGCCAUUGCCUUUCUCCCUUCCCCAGGUAGCUACCACAUUAAAGAAAACAAAAAGACUGUCCUGGUGGAACCUGCCUUGCCUGAGUGUAUUUUCCCUGUCUUAUUUUUGGUGUGUCUCUACAUUUUUACUUAAACUAUUAUUUUAGGGCUCUUGGCUUGCCCCUUCCAGGCAUGUGGCCUCAACGCCCCUUGUUGAAAGUGGGCAUGGCUAUAAAGCAGUAUUCUAGAGGUCAGCAAAAUUUGAAGCGCUUCGGCUACUGAAAGUGAAAUUUAGCAGCUGUGAGGUUUGCAUUAGACUCUGAUGUGUUGGGAGAAGGGUUGGAGGGGUCUUUCUGAGGAGGCUGCUGAUCUGGAGAGUUCAGAGCGCUCUGAUGUCCUGACUGGUGCCUGCUUCAGGUGUUGCCGAGCGUUAGGAAGAGUUUUUCAGGACUGGCUGAAUUGUGGAGUUAGAGGCUGGCUACCAAAGUCGUCCUUCACCCCUACUCCUCCCUCAACACGCACUUGAUCUUUUAUAACAGCAAUAUGGUACACUGAAAUACUAUUGUCCCAGCCAAGCAAUUCUGGGUGGUUGCUUUUAAAUGUGUUUCUACAAACUAGUUUGAUAACUUUUUUAUCAAUGAAAUGCAAAAAGAAAAAAAACCUACUUUAUUUCCUUGUAACAGUUCAGGAAACUUAAAAGUGACUGGUUCCUAGAGCAAUCACAACUCUGUCCUCUUGCAUGGACUUAAACUUUUGUAUUCUAAGCAGCUCUGAUGUUUAGAGCAAGUUUAGGCUGGAGAGACAUGCCUGCGUUGUGUAUUGUAGGUGUUUGCACGUGCUUACGUGUUUCAUAAACAGAAAAGCAUGGGACAGGUAGAUAAGUGCAAAUAUCUUGACAUCUUUUGAAGAAGUUUUUUAAAAAAUAUGCAAUACUCUUAAGAGUUUUCUCUGGUUCUGAUGCCGAGUUGUUCAUGAUGCAGGGGGGAAAUGAACGACAAGUUGCGCAGAUGGGGUUUGGGAGAGGAUGUUUGGCUUAAGGAGUUCUAUUGAGGAUAUAUAACAUGUACAAUAAGGAAGGAUGAAGUUCUGAUCCUUAAGGUGAUGGGAGGAACAAGGAGACAUUGAAAAAGAAAUACACUUCAUCUUGCUUUGGCAAAGCAAGCCGGGCAAGCAGUUAGAGCAUGGGCUUGGCAGGCAGGAGGCUUACCAAGUGAAAAUAAAGCUUGCCUGCAGGCUGACUGCACAACUUUGGGCACAUGGAAACAUCUCCAGCCCUCGCUUUCCCCAUCUGCAAAUUGGAACUAAGGAUCAUUUUCCUGCCCCUUUAGAGGGAAGAAUCUGGAGAAGAGUAAUGUAUUCUUGCCUCACUUUAUACAUUUUUCUCUUUUAUAAGUGAGGGCUCUUAUUGUUCCUUCCAUGUCUCUCGAAAAUCAGAUGUGGUUGUAAUGGAUUUGCGUGGGGGGAAGAGAAAGGCUUGGUGCCAGGAUCAUGUGUAACAGGGAUGUGCUCCUAAGAGAGGAACCUUUGCAGGUGUUCUGAGCUGGGCAUCUGCAAAGUACAAUCUCAUUGACCAUUUCAAAGAGGAAAAAUUGUAUUCCACCUCCGUUUUCCUUCUGUCCCUUCUUCUUCCUCUCCUGUCAAGUGCAUUGUCACACAGUGAAUGAUUUUCUAAGCGGCCACCUGAGGGACCAGCCCCACUGGGUUUCCUGUUGAAGGUCAAACAGGACUGUACUGAAACAGUAAGGUUGCCAGAGAGCAGUCACAGAAGAUGAGAUAAGAGGGUGGCUAAGGUAGGUUUCGUUGCAAUCGAGGUGUGGGGAGGAGCGGAGACGUGCCUAGUAUGCUGCUUUAGUCAUAGCUUUUGAAAUUACCAAAAAUCAAAAAGAAAAAAGUUUAAAACUUUGAAAUCCUAUCCUGUUCACACUAGAAAGCAUCAAAAGUGACUUUUAGUUGCUUAAAAGAUUUUAGAGUGUUUUAAAAUAGAAGUUUUAAAAGAAUACUACCAAACUAUAAAAACAUAAAAUUAUUUAUAUACAUAUAUUAUAUAUAAAUAUAGUGGGAAAGUUUCCCUGCUAAGCUUGCUGUGAGGAGAAGGGUGAAGGUGCAGUAACUGCUAUACAAGCAACAUUUUUCCAAAACAGAUGGCAACCAAUCCAUCAAAGCGUAGUGAUGAAGGGCUGACAUAAAAUGAUGAAUGCCUUUGUUUGUGUGGCACAGCUUUGAGUUUCUUGAGCAGGUUUUUGUUUUACUGUAUCGAUACUGUGAACGGAGGAGCAUCCCAACAGUCCAGGAUGCCAGCGUUGCAUCCUGUUUUGCUGAUUCACUACUUUCAAUUGGCCUGGUGAAAACCAUGGAAUUGGUCCUUCAUGUUGUACUAGGCUAGUCUGAAAACAAAGCUUGUGAAAGGUUUUUAUUUUUUCUUCUUUUAUGGGUUGGGUGGGUUUUUUUGUUUGUUUGGGUUUUUUUUGGUGCAGAGGUUGCCACUGUAUAAAUGAUCAUUUCUGAUUGCAUGCAAAAGAGCCAAUAUUCUUGCCUGGGCCUCGCUGAGGUGAAGUUUAUAGCUUGUAGCUAGAGUCAGUAUAAGGUAUGGUAGUGGGAAUCAUUUUAAUAUUAUUUCUGUACAUUUAAUGGAUGUGUAUGUGUACGUAUGUGUGGAAAUCAUGGUGUCUCUAGUGUUUUCUUGAACAGUGCUGAAAGCAAUUUAAGCCCAUCCGCACUAGAAGAUGGAACCAGUUCAGAAGGAAUUGUUUAUUAAACUUUUCUUUCAGUGACUGAUUUCCUCAGUGCAGAUAAGGCCAAGGUUCAAGAAAAAAGGGGUUGGAGGUUGUAUGCGGUAUGGGAAAACCUCAUGUGAAAUUUCCGGCAGUGGUGUAGCUACCUGGAGCUGCUUUCCAUAACAGAAUGAUACCAUCUUCUGUUGCCUCUCCACUGGCACACUGUGUAGCUCUUUACAGUUGCAUCAAAGCUGUAGAGAAUCAGAUGCCAACUUUCCAACUGCGAAUGCUUCUGUGAUGGGUUGAGGCACAGCUUUGCAUUUCCACGUCUAGCUGCAGCUUUUUCCCCUCUGCCAAAACUGUGAUUUCAACUGUGAUUUAAGGAGGAUGUAAAGAGAACUCUGUCGUGUUUUAAUACCUCUGUACGUAACAUUUCUGUCCGCUUCAGAGUUUGGGCUUACUAACCCAUUUGUUUGCUUGCCUCAGGCAACAGGGGGAACACACUCUAUUUCUGCAGUUUUCUUUCUUGGAGGAGAACACAUUUCUUAGUUCUUUGCUGUGGCAGAGAAACCUUUCAAAUGUGAAUCGUUGUGGUUAUCUCCUUAAGCCUGCAGAAAGCCCUGGUGCCAAGUCACAGCAGAGUGAUGUGACUGCUCCCUGUGCUGCCAGGCUCCCUGUGAAUAUCUGUGAAAAUAGCAAGAAUUGUGUUAAUACUGUGCUGCUGCUUUGGGGAAAAGCUGAACUUGUUCCUCUCAGGAGGAUGACUGAUGUGAAGCUGGGAAAGGGAAAAAGCAGAAGGUCUUUUUGCUGUCUUGCAGUGGGAGUAUGUGAAAACAAACUAUGCUUCUUAUUUCCAGCAGCUAGAUAGAGAGGGAUGAACGAGGAGGCUUUAUGAAAUGUGAAUUUAUAACAGGAGGCUGAGAACACACUUAAAGCUGCUUAAUAAGAUCCCAGGAUAUCAGCCUGGUAAGAGUCAGAGCAGCUGAUGCAGAAGGGCAAUUCCUCACUUGUCCUCCCAGCAUUGUCUGGCCAUCAGGUUCAGUCCUUUGACUUACCUACAACUUCUCUACAAUAUUUUCAAGCUGUGAUUUAACUUCCAGAAGUUUGGUGGCUGAAGGGUGGGAAGAAUAGAAAGUGUUUUGUGUCUCUGCUGCUGUUUUAAGUCCAGCUGAGGUCAGUAGCAACUGCCUCUGUUCCUCUCCGACAGCUCUUCAGAGCUGAAAUUGCAUUUGGAACAAGCUGUGAUCUUGCUGUAAAGCAUAGCGGGGCAGGCUUGGUGGGGAGGGCACGGAGCCCUCUGUGAGAUCAAGGACAGAUAUCUCCCUGCCUGUCCUGCUCUUGUUCUGUGACAGCUAGGUGACUGUUCCAGGGAAGGCUGUCCCACACCUUUACGCAAUAGUACUGUCACUUAAAAGUUUGACGCUCAUUUCAGUAAAUGAUUCUAAGCAGUCUGGUCUUCCAGCAGAGUCCUUCUUCUGCUUUCAGGUGAUGCAACCAUAAUGAUGCACUUGCAAGAGCAGAGUUGUAGCUUUUAUUUGUUGCUGACUUCAUCUCUCCUGCAGAACCCAAUGCAUAAAUAGAAAGACACCUGAAAAGGUGCAGUUCAUUUGGGUGGAAGGUAGCAUGUGAGGUGGAGGGUCAUGCAUCUUUAAAACCAACAAAAAUUGGCAACCCUUAAUCUUGUUAUUUCAACUUUAGAACAUUCUCCUCUUUGUAAAAAUCUCCUCUCCAUGACAUGCUUGCCUUACCAGCAUCCAGGUGUUUCUGCAGAUGAUAAACACCAAAUGCUGUUCUUGCUCUACCGGAAAUAUUUUUGGGAUGGGAGAAGUCAAGGAGCUGUAAUUCAGGAGACUUCUAAUUUUUGUCAAGGUUUGGGCUCUGAGUUUCCCCUGGGAGCUGAGCCCGUAGCCAGGACUGCCGUCAGAAAGUCUGGGGUCUUUCAAUGGCGCUGCCACUGACUGCCAGCAUAGCCUCAUCUCAGAGAUGAGCAUUACGCAUAUCAUAAGGCGAGAUCCAUGCAAAGAGCUUUGACAUCUUCAGUGUAAGGUCCUAAAGAGGAGCCAAUUAUCUUUAUUUCAAUUGUUAUCAUUCAAAGCAUAUUUUAAUAUAAAAUACAUACAUAUGUAUGUAUAUGCAUUUAUAUAUAAAUAUAUAUAUUUGUAACCAAAUAAAAGCUAGACCUAUGCAAACACUACUAGCUGCUGCUUGAAACUAAUGUCUACCAGAACAUUUUGGGAUAGAUUUGGAGUAGAUUUGUUGGGUUUUGUUGUUGGUUUUGUUGUUUGUUUUGUUUUUUAAUAAGAUGCAGCAGACCAAACUUUUGCUGCAGUUAGUCUUACUAGAAAUUUAGGUUAUUCCUAAUCUGGAACCCACUCAAGUGGGUUAUAAAAUUAUCUGAAGAGUCCUACCAUCUCUAAAAUAUUUCCAUCUGCCUUGGUAUUAUUGCUGAAAGGCUUUCUUUUGCGAAACAUAGGUAAACACGGAGGCUGGAACUAGGAGAGACUGAAUGUGAUGUUUGGGAGAUAGCUAGAAGAGAAGUAGAAUCAAGAAAAGACUGGGAACAUUUUCUUUUGGAUGUAGGAUUGUGUUGGCUUCAAGGAAUCUUCCUCCUGGUGAAAAUGUCUGUCACUGAGAUGGGGGCAGUGAUCGAAGCAUCCCCAGGCUGAAUUCUGGUCCCGGUGGAGGUAUCAGAAAUCUUCCCACUGAAUCUGAUGGUACUGGACUUCAGUCUGCUGGGAGAAAUUUCAUGUGGUUUCAACCAUUUCUUUGUGUCAGAUCCAAUCUUAGCUUUUAGGAUUAAGUACAAUAUAUCCAGCUGUAAUCUUCAGUGCCCUUUGACUUUCUAUUCCUGGUACUGUAGACAAUUCAGGUUUCCUAUAACAUUAUCCUUAUCCCAACUGUGAACAAGUUACUACUGCUUCUUAUAAUUUAUUGUCUUUCUGUUCCUGAACGUCUGUGUGAUCAAGCUGUUCACCAGCACCACCUUCCAGUGCUUCAUUAGCUUUUAUGCACAGGGAAUUGUUGCAAUGCUUAAGUUGACCAUGCUAGUUGGAAGAGUAGAAGCCUUUGGAAAAUGACUUUUGCUUCCUCUAGCUGUCAUUAGGGAGUGCACACACACAUACCUGUAUAUACAUAUAUAUGUAUACGUAUAUAAAGUAUUUCAGUAUAAACUCAUUUAGCAUUAUUCUUAUUUAAUUUAUAUUUUAAUCCAAUUGUAAACCAAAGUAUUACAGCUUGUGAAAUGAUGUGUCUCAGAAAUAGGAGGAGCCUUUUUAGACGGGAGCUCUGAAAGAUCUUUGCUGACAAAAGCACAGAUACGAAUAAGACUUAAGAACUCAUGCUGCUGAAUCCUAGAGAUUUGCAGCCUUGGAAGGAUUUAAGACCUGCUGGGUAAAGUUUGAUGGUGGGAAGGCAGUGUGAGUUACCAUUUUAAAACAAUGUUUUGGGGUUUUUUUGUCAUCCAGUAUAACUUGGUAUUGGAGGAAUUGCUACAAAAGCAGUGUGGUGGGGCAUCUGAUGAAAUGAGGCGUGUGGUUAAAGCAUGGUUAAAGCUAAGAAGACGAUGCCGUGUAUUAUUGUUUGCUUCUGGUGUCUUCUGAUCACAGAUCCGGACUGAGGUGUGCUGUGUUCAGCUUUGGGCAUCUCCAUAUUGCCUUGUUGAACAUCCCUGCAGGGAGCUGGUCAGUUGGUAGUUUGAGUGAGCACGUUAAAAGCAUGACUCAGUGGCAUUUCUACUGCUGGACUUUUCCAGCAGAAUCACUCUGGAGUCUGCCAUCCUCCUGUGCCUGGUCACAAAACCUGGGGCUUCUGCCCUGCCUCUUGAAUUGGGAUCCUUUAAGAAAGUACAAGGACUUGCCUACUAGACUGCCUCAAGGAAAUCUCCUGCAAGGGAAAAUGAGGCAGGAAUUUAGGAGUGAGUUUGCUGUGUAUGCUCUACCAUGGAUCUAAAGUGAUUCUAUAUGGUCUUCUGCCUGACCCAUUCCUUGUAAAUGCAGGCUUUGGAUGAAUUUUUGUAAGCAUGCAUAGAAAAGAUGGGACAGGCUGUCUUAGUGCUAGGACUGCUUCUGCCUGCAUUCCGCUUGGCUCACUGUUUCUUGCUGCAGUAUCUGAUAGGGGUUGGAGUUGAGAGGUGUUUGUUGAGAUGGAGUACAGCGGCCACCGGACCAGGUGCUCCUGGGCUUUGGCUCAUCUAUGCUGUCAGAGCGACUAAAGCUCUGAACCCAAGAGGCAGGGUUCAGGGCCUUCUGAAGACUUGGAGAUUGCAGAGUUAUUCAUGGUACUGAAUGGUUUUGUAGGACAACAAGUAUGUUCUGGCAAGCCUAGAAAUAAAAAGGGAGAAGAAAGCAAAUCAGACUGUAGUCUGGCACAAGUGGGAGCUAGAGAGAGGAAGCCACACAAACAGCCACUGAUGUAUUUAGUGUCUAGUUUAUAGUUCUAGAAAACCAGCCAUUGCUAUUUACUGAUAUCUAGAGGUGAUUGUGGGUUUUUUUAGUGACUUUUGUGGAGGUGCACAUUCUGCUGUCACCAGUGGGAUGAAAAACUGGGUUCAGAGAUAAAAUCUUGCUGAUUCUUCUGUGCCAGGGAGUAACUGCCUUUCCAAGGAAUUAACUACCACUAAGAACAUAUUAAUCUCUUAAAUCUCCCACAGGCUUCCCUGUGUCUCUUAUAUUGAGCAAGGUGGUGGCCCAUGUACCUUUGUUGAUCACAUAAGUUCAUUUAAUACUCCCCAGCAGGAUUAGUGCAUACUCGCAGCUCAUGGUAUAUCAUGCACUCUGUCAGCCACUCACAGUACAGAUUUUAGCUACUAGAUCUGGCAAAUGUAAAAAGACUGUAAGCUAAUCUUUUUGUAAUUGUAGUCGCCAGGUAUUAAUGGGUUCAGUACAAGACCCCUUCUGUGCUGCAUGCUGUGCUAGUGCAUAGAAACAUCUAUCUGUCACAUCAAAUUCCUUUUGAUUGAGGCAUCCUGUAAGCAACCUCAGUGCAAAGGUGCUUCUGAGGGCAGCUAUCAGAAGAAACUGGUCUGAUACCAGCAGCAGAUCCCAUCUAGCUGCUGUGUCAAAUAGCAUUUGCUCUGAUAAACUGGGUAAAAGAAAAAGGGAAAGCAGGAUCAGGAGAAGAGAGGUACCUUAGACCAAGCGCUGGCUGCUAAUUGAGCAGAAAAGGGUUAUUUGGUUGAGACAGUGGUGUAUGUGGAAUUUCUGUAAUUUUUUUAUUCAAAUAACUUUCAAUAACCUUUUUUUCACCAAAAAUUUCCCAAGUUCAUUAUGUAGUAGCACUUGCGUCAGUAUGCUGCAUCCAGUGGCUCCUGGGUGUUUAGUGGGUUGGUGAUGAUAUGUUAGCUGGAGGCUUUGGGUGAGGGAGUUAUGAAUGCAGGCUGCUGGCUGUCUUUCCAUAUAAUCAUUCUGAUGGCUUUAGGACACAGACCAAAAAUGCUUCUUUUUGUUUUAAAGCUUUAAUCCUUUUCAUGGAAAUGUUGAAAAAAAUCUUAGCUCACUCCCCAGUUAUUUUUAUGUUCUGUUCAGCUGGAUUCUUAUCCAGCAUCCAUAUGUGAUCUAAGAACAAUUUCUGUAACACCCACAAGUAGGACUUUGUAGGACUGUGCAGAACUCUGCAGAUCACAGAAGGCUUAAAACCUGUGGCUGUAGGAGGUGAUGUUUGUAACAUGGUUUUCAUGCUGUCAUAGAGGUUGGGAGGGAUGAGGAAGGGUCUUUGCAGAGAUCCGGUCUCUGUCGCAGUGUGGAUGGAGUCACUGGGCACCAUUGCCUGCUUGUAGGGGGCUUUGAGGUUAAAGGUACAGCUGGGAUUUUCCUCAGAUUUUCCUUGUGGCUUCCCACUGCAUGAGUGCUUCAGUAGUAAACAACAGACUGCUGCCGUCAGCAUCAGGAACGCAGUCAGCAUUGAGACUGUGUGUCAGGACCCUGUGCGGGAAUCUUAGGAGGGGAAUUAUGCACCUUCAGAACUAAAAAGUUGAACUUGUCAAAGGCUUUUGUGAAUGAGGAGUUAAACCUGCUUUUGGCAGGGUGGUGGAGCAGGCCUGAGGGUUUUGGCUGUUAACAUAUAUUCAGAUCCUUGUUUUUGCAGGGUGAGAUGGGCCAUUUCAGAAAUCUGGGCAAGGAAAAGUGGUAGCGUUUGAACUCCGUGUUCUCAUUCCAGGUUUGCACCGAGAACCGCACCAGAAGUGGUGGCAAAUCUCGCUACAGCCGCAGACUCACUGCAGCCUGUACACGGGGAGAGGCCUUUUCCCUCUAUGCUGCUAAGCACUGUAAAGGAUUCAGUCUUCAAAAGGAUGGAAGACAGCAGCACUUCAAUCACACAGAUAGUUUGCCUACAUUAGCCAGAGUUUCUUUAGGUAGCCAGGGGCACGCCAUCUGGUUCUUUCUAGCCUGAGCCAUUUGUUGUAGCAGGGAAGAGAUCUGCAAAGUGCAAACAGAAAUAGUGAGGAAAGGAGGUUGGCUUAGCAGGGAGGAGGGAGACAGCAGAAAUGUGAAGAGGGCUCAUUUGUUGUCAGCAGUGGCUGGGGCUGUUCGCGCUGGAAACCAACAGGAGGUGUGGGCAGAAUAGGUGAAACAGCAGCAAAGCGUCACUGGGAAGAAGCAUGCAGGUGUGUCUAGCAUGUUGUGGGUGCUGUGGGCAGGGAAAUGCUGGUUUUAGAACCUGCAUACGUUCAGGAGCAUGCAGGAAACCCUCCUGCCUUGGGAGACAGGCAUGCAAAGACGCUUAUACGCUGUCCUGAAAUUUUAGAGCUGAGUAUCACCAGUGUUUUCCAUCCUGCAGCUGUGAAUGGUAACAAAGGAAAAUGAGUCAGUUCCUCGUGGAGGCAAAUUUACUGUGCGGAUUUCAGAAACUCCAUUGGAAGGAACUGAGGGGUGGCAAGUGAAGGCUGGAAAUGGGUAGUAUCAGAGAUUUCAAAGUGCCAUUUUCUGAAUGUUAGGUUUUCUAGCCUGUGUUUAAGCUGUUGAAGCUGUUGAAGACUGAAGUGUGCUCAGCAGCCAAGGGGAGGGUGUAGAGAAGAUGGAACCAAACUCUUCUCAGAGGCACAUGGUGAAAGAAGGAGCAGCAGUAGGCAGAAAUUUAUACAAGGGAGGUUCAGGUUAGGUAUUACAAGACAUUUUUUCACUGUGAGUAUAGCCAAACAGUAUUCGAACAAAGCCUCCCACCCUCCCUUAUUUUGGACUUCUCUGUUACUCCCCUGGCAUAUAAAAUAUUGGUCCACCUCAUGCUACAGUGCAUAAUACAUAACAAGGGAUAGAGACUUUUAUCCUACCAGUGCAUUUCCAGUUAGUUUUGGUUUUUUCAUUUAACAGUGUUUAAUCCAUGAAAUAGCAUCUUGUGUGCCAUGGUCUAUGGAGAAGUCCAGCUGCUCCCCACGCGUGAGUGCAGCCUCCAGGUUCCUGUUUCCAUUAGACUACGUCAAGCUGUAUUUUUUUUUGUUACUUUUUUUUGGUAUUAUCAUGUAAAAAUGGGCAGCUUUAAUGGGCUUCCUAGUUCAUAUCAGUUAAGCUUUUGAAACAUAUUCAGGUUUCUCUUAAAUACUGCUGUGUAAGUUCCUUAUUUAAUCUGACAUAUUCCAGUUUAUUAUUUUACUGCAGUUAUCUAAGGCAGUACUUAAAAAAAAAAUCAGUGCAUUAAUUUUUUGCAGACUGUCAGCUAUGUUAAACCUCCAGCUUUACUUAGUUUUUGUCAGUGUACUUAACCCCCUCCCCCUCAGAUCUAUGGUUAAAUGUCUUCAUUAUUUUUAUGUUGCAGUGAAGCUUAUUUAUUUAAAAAUUCCUGCUAUCUUUGCAGUCAGACCUAAUACUAUUGGCUAUGAAACUGUGAAACUAAUUAGAAAUGAAAAAUGAAGCUAGAUUGGUUAGUUUUACUGCUGGUUGUAAAAUACAAAAAAUAGCAGCAUAAAAGGAGAAAAAUACAAUUGAAAUUACUCAGUCUGGGGUGGGGGGAGGAAUCACAAGACUAUGGCUGAGAAAUUUCUUGGAAAUGAGUUUUAACCUGAUGAUGUUACUUUGCUGGUUCCUCAUUUGGUCAAGUUUAAAAGCUGUUUCUUGAGACUGA